CGCUAAAACCAGAAGAAAAAACUCAGCUAAAAAGAAGAGUAAUGAAGCUCCUCUGAGGAAUUUCUCACAGAUCAAGCCAUUCCUUUUUUCUCCUUUUAUUCUUCUUUUUUUCUUUUUUUGUUUCUUUUUUUUCUUUUUUUAUAUGUCCAUAA
rnacentral:ribozyme from 13 species